ACCACGUCACUGCAGUCGAGGUGAGAUCUCGGGAGGGAAGCAUUUGGAUGCAGAAGUCAGCACUCUGCCACUCAGAUUUCUUCUCUUCAUUGACUCUGCAGAUCGUGGUAUCUUUAAGGAACGUUCAUUGGAAAGCAUCACAUUGUCCUUUUCGCCACCUUGGGGAAAUGGAUUUUUAAAGAAACGCACUCCCCACCUCGGUUCUGACUGCAGAUACAGCGAGAGAGAUGUGGAUCACGACUGUCGUCUUCCACCUGCUCCUGGUGCAUCUGAGCUGCUGUCACCUAGUGCACUGGACAUACAAAGGUAAUGAAAAACGAGGCUUUUUUGGGCUUGCUACUGCUUGCUAAAGAUGCUUCCAUCCUUUUUGUGCUGCAGAAGCAACACUCAGCUUGACUCUCUUUCCAUUAUUGAAAGAUCUUCACAGAACAGCUAAUUUAUUCUACUUUAUUGAUGCCUGUGUGUCUUGAAAGUGAUUCUCUUCAAUGUCACCCCUUUUUACUCCUUUGUGUAGUUAGGACACAUUGUCAGAAUUGGCAGACCAAUGAGGUUCAAACAAUGGGGUAAAUCUUUACACUGUGUUAGAAUAAAAGCUGCCCUUUGGAUGAUCCUGGAAUGAAA
rnacentral:lncRNA from 1 species